rnacentral:rRNA from 1 species
CAUGUCUUUUUGAUUAUAAUUUAAGGUUUAAUCUGCUCAAUGAGGUUUUAAAUUGCCGCGGUAUUUUGACCGUGCAAAGGUAGCAUAAUAAUUAGUUUCUUUAUUGGAAGCUGGAAUGAAUGAUUGGACGAGAAAAUUACUGUCUCUAUAUUAAUUUUUUUUUGAAAUUAACUUUUAAGUUAAAAGGCUUAAAUUUUAUUUAAAGACGAGAAGACCCUAUAGAGUUUGACAAAAUUUUAUUAUUUGAUUUUUUGGUAUUUGUUUAGUUUUAAUUUUUGUUUGGUUGGGGUGACUAGAAGAUUAAUAGAACUCUUCUAAAAUUUUAAAUCAAUGAUUUUUGAAUGUUUAAUCUGAUUUUUUCAAGUUUAAUUUAAAUUACCUUAGGGAUAACAGCGUAAUUUUUCUUUAGAGUUCUUAUUGAAAGAAAAGUUUGCGACCUCGAUGUUGGAUUAAAAUAUAUGUUUGGUGUAGAAGCUGAAUUAUUGAGUCUG